CCCCGCCCUUACGGCGGGAACCGGCGCCCGGGAACCCCUCCUCCCGGCAAGUGACUUCCCGGGAGGUGUCCAAACGGGAAUAUUCUCCGAAGCCCCGCUAGCCCUUCCGGGCUGGUAGCUUGCUGGGCAGCCUGCAGUUGCCGCCCCGGACGAGACCCUUCCGAGAACUCGCCGACGCAACCCACGCGUCGCGCAACGGUGGUACCCCGGGUGCCACUGGUGCGACACCAUGGAGAUACCAGUCUCGGUGAUCUUAUCUUAUGAUAUCCAUCAUAUUUCAGUAGGGAAAGCUUAGAUUCCAACCUGCGAUACCGGAUACUUGAAAUUCGAUCUAUCGGGAAAAUGGUUCACUUCUCAUUCAAUCUCUUUUCAUCCGGGAAGGGGAAUCUUGGUUCCUCCAUUCUUCUCUCAUUAAUUCAUGCUUCAUUUUUUCUUUCUAGGAAUGCUCUGUUUCACCUCUCUUUAUGGAGGCUUCUUCUUGUGCUUAUUAUUCAGACAGGAAGAAUCUUAUGAUGAUUAAACCCUCAUUGCUCUCUUUGACAUAAAUAAGCAUGGGAAUUUUGGUCAUGCAGCUGGCAAUAACAUAAUUCGGAUGAUUUAUUUGCUCUUAUUUAGGACAGUAAACUGAGCCCCUUGCAGAUUCUCACCCCUCCAACAUUCGGGACCGUGGGAUCAUGAAUGUCUUAUAGCUGCAGUAGCAUCAAGGAAUUGUUGGCUUUCAAUUUUGGCUUGAUGCAAUUGUGUGCAUGCUUUAGCAUUAAACUAUUAAUUCCAGUUAGACAAAACUACUCGUAUAACUUGGAAUACGUACAUUACUAAUUUUCUUUACUCCAUCCAAGUUUAACUUUUAUCCUUCGUGUUUCCAAAUAUUUGUAUCCUUCCAACAAUUCUAUUGUCGAAACUGACGGGCGCAGCAGCGCUCACCAUCCUGAUCUAGUCAAAUUAAUAAGAUCGUACUAUUCAGAUUUAGAUGUAGGAGUCGAUGACUAUUUUUUUCGUCAAAUAUGCAAAAAUAUAUUUUAUGGUCACACUUAUGGUCAUGUAUUAUCAAUUUAUAAUGGAGGAAAGAAAUCAUCCUCGUGGAUGCAUAUGGAUCAUGGGAAAUUUGUCUAGGAUUUUACUUUUUUUUUACUAAUAGUAAAAGUAAAUACUACCUUUUUGAUCUCCUAGCACUGAUAGAUUUAAUUCCUUAGAUGUGCUAAAUGGAGGGCUUCUAUUCAUUCGUCCCUACCGUAAAAGGUCUCUUGGUUGCAUAGAAAGUAUUUUUUUACGAAAACGACAAGGCCCGUUCACUUAAUUAAGAGUUGGGAUAUAGUACAGAGUUAAGUCCACCAACCUAAACAGUUUCGUAAACGGUUUUGCUGACGUGGCGACUGACAAACGCUAUGCUGUCAUUUUUUGUGCGGAAAUCAAUUGUUUAGGCAAGAAAACCCCUCGAUUCCCCUUCCCUCUGUUUAAAAUUGGGUGCUAUUUACUGAGCGCAACAAGUCUGAAAUCCUCAUCUCUAAGCGCUCCAACUCUUCGAUUCUUUGUCUUCCCGAGCAUUCAUUCCCGACUCCAACUCCUCCUCCUCCGCGCACUUUCUCUGCUCUGCCGCCUCCCCCUUCGCAUCCCUAUCCUUUCCUCUCGCCCUCUGGUCGCCGCUGCCGUUAUUUCUUCGCAUGCACCGGAGCUUAACUCCCGCAGCGUAGCUCUAUGCCUCUAUCUCCAGUUCCUUCGCGUCCUCAAAUCCUCACACGCCGACGCCUGUCCUCCCGACCCCCGUUGCCGCCGGCUUCCAUUGCAUGAUUGCAUCGGCUGCGCCAGCGUUGAAAACGGCCAGCAUCCGCCACCUGCCCCCUGCCUCCUAGCGCGAGCCGCCAUCGCGUUGGCGCCACCGUGCGGCAGCUGCUCACGGAUCUGGAGAAGGUCGAUGAGGUCAGUACGCCCACGCUCUGUUCCCCGCGCCCCCUCUGCGUCUUUGAAUAUAUGUGCCAAUUUAGUGAAUUCGGAUGGACGAUGUGGCUCAUUUUGAAGGAGUGCACGGAUGAUAUCUAUCUAUGAAUGGAGAUAUGGAAAUUUGCUUGUUUUUCUUUACCAUAUGAAUCAAGUGCGAAGAUUUAACAGUGAACUAGCUACUAUUGCCUGAGAAUGAAAAUCCAAACAGGAGCAGAUUGUUUAGCUGUGGACUUCCCAGCCAAGUUUACUUGUUUCUGCGGUGAUGUUGUGUCUACUUCUCAACUCAAGAGAUCAUAUCCAAUCGAGAGUAUACUAUCUCAUGGUGUUAUCAUUGUUGUUGUGGCAACAUAAUUUGUGUCAUGGUUCAAUGGAGGGGAGGUUUGUCCAAUUGUAUUGUACAGCAAAUUUAUUCCUUUUUCGUACCCAACUGCGGAUCGAUGAAUUUAAAGGAUUAUGGCUCUUCCACCCAUCCAUUGGAGUAGAAUCAUGUAUGCAGUGCCAAUGUGUCUCCAAACGGGAUCACUGUUUUGCAGCUCAUUCAUUGAAUUAAGCAAAAUCUCUGGCUUGUUGGCAGCUACUUUUUUUUUGUUGUAUUUCAAUUUUGCGUGCAAACUUUUCUUACUUCAGGAGUUGCAAUAUUGAAACUCGAUCGGUUGUUGAAUUCUUGGCCAAGUCAAAAUAUAUCAAACUGUGUUGACUUCAAGGAGACUGCCGAUACUAUUGCUAAGUUUUUUUUUUGUUAAACUUACUAUUCUUUGGUUCAAAUUAGCAUACUACAUAUACAUCCCAUAGUUUGUGGAGAGAAUUCCAUAUUUGCCAUCCAAAAUUUGCUCACAUGUUCAAAUGUCACUCAAAAUUUCCUACUUCCAUAUUUACAUCGAGAUUUUGCACCAUGUACAAAUUAGCCACUACAGUUAGUUUUCUGUUAGUUGACCACGUGGAAGACCUGAAAAAUUGUCAGUUUUUUCCAUACUGACAAGUAUACCCCUGGAUCUAUGUGUUACAAGAAAAGAAAAAAAGGACGCGACUAACGCGCGGCCGUACUACCUUUUUCAUCUGUCGCGCGACCGAAGCUGGCGUGAACGUACGCGCGAACGCGAGAUCGGCCGACUGUGUGCGCGUAUGCUUCUUUUGUGCGGCACGAGCGGAAGCCAGCCAAUUUGGUCCAUAACCAGCCUAGCCGAGCGGGAGCGCGGGAGCGCGUGAGCGCGAGACGAAUCGGGCCACCGGCCCAGAAACAGCCUGGCCCAACCCAGUAUGAAACUCAUCCUUCUAGAUGAAACUUGAUAUGCUAAAAUUUCUAAAAUUGCCAUCCUCUUGACAUGAACUACGUAACGUGGAACUCAUCUUGUAGGUUGAAGUGUUGACAUGCUAAAACAUAGAGUCAAAUUACCAGGCCUAUUAUUAUGAAACUACUUGUGAGACAUUUAUCCCCUCUAGAUUGAACCUGACAUGCUAAGUAGACUGGAAUUAUCGGGCAUACUGUUUAGAAGUUGCCAUGCUAAAUAGACUGAAACUAUCAGGCUUGCUGUUCUAAAGUUUCCAUGCUAAAAUAAACUGAAAUUAUCAAGCGUACUAUUCAAAAAAUGACUAGAAUUAUCAAGUAUGCUAUUAUGAAACUACUUGUGAGACAUUCAUCCCUUAUAGAUUUGAAGCUGUCAUGCUCAUAAACUGAAAUUAUCAGGCCUACUAUUAUGCAGUUGUCAUGCUAAACAGAUUGGAAUUAUCAGGUCUAUUAUUCUGAAAUUACAAGUGAGACACACUCAUCCCUUAUAGAUUUGAAGUUGCCAUGCUAAAUAGACUACAAUUAUUGGGCUUACUAUUCCGAAUUUGCCAUGCUAAAUAGACAGAAAAUACCAGAUGUACUAUUCUGAAACUACGAGUGAGACAUUCAUCACUUCUAGAUUUGAAGUUGUCAUGCCGACUAGACAGAAAUUACCAGGCCUGUUAUUCUGAAGUUGCCAUACUAAACAUACUAGAAUUACCCAGGUCUAUGAUUCUGAAAGUGCCAGUGAGACACAUUCAUUCCUUGUAGAAUUGAAGUUGCCAUGCAAAAUAGACCGGAAUUACUGGUCUUAUUCUGAAUUUGACAUGCUAAAUAGACAGGAUAUACCAGACCUACUAUUGUGAAACUACGAGUGAGACAUUUAUCCCUUCUAGAUGUGAAGUUGUAAUGCUGAUUAGACAUAACUUACCAAGCGUACUAUUUUGAAGUUGCCAUGCUAAACAGACUAGAAUUAUCAGACCUAUCAUUAUGAAACUGCCAGUGAGACACAUUCACCCUUCUAGAUUUUAAGUUGUCAUGCAAAAAAGACUAAAAUCACUAGGCCUACAAUUCUGAAGUUGGCAUGCUAAAUAGAUUGGAAUUACCAGGCCUAGUAUUAAUUCUAAAGUUGACAUGCUAAAUAGACUGUAAUUAUCAGGCAAACUAUUUUGAAACUACCAGUGAGGCAUUUAUCCCUUCUAGAUUUGAAAACUUGAUGUGCUAAAUAGAUUGAAUUACCGGGCCUACUAUUCUAAAACUAUCAUCAUUACAAACCAUGCCAUUCAUGUAGAAAUACACUACACGUAGAAUUUUUUUACGCAACUUACAAUUUUCCUCGGACAAAAAUAGGCAUCGCAUUACAAAUAGCGGUACUAAUCACAAACGAAGUUGUCAUAGAAUCUUCGGAAAUUACAGUUUCUGUGGUAAAAAAAACACGAAAACAAUUAGUCUUGACUGAAGUAACCAUGCUAAUAUACAUAAACUUGCUAGUGAAAUCUAACCGAAAUUGCCAUGAUAUGUACAUGCUAAGUAGGCGUGAAAUAUAAAAUAAGUUAGCAUUCCAUCAAGUUACCAAUGCAUUGUGAUUGAAACUACCAUGUUAUACAAGUCAAGUUGCUAACCAUGGACCAAAUUUUUUACCAGUGAGACACUCAUCUAUUCUAGAUUGAAGUUGCCAUGCUAAAUAGACCAAAAUUACUAGAACUACCGUUCUGAAACUACCACUGAGACAUUUGGCCAUUCUAGAUUGAAGUUGCCAUGCUAAACAUACUAGAAUUACCAGACCUACUAUUAUGAAACUACCGGCAAGAAAUGAAGUUGCGACUUUUUGAAACACAAAGUUACCAUGCUAUGAAAUAAAACGUUGCCACCAUAUCAAACACAAAGUUGCCGUGACGUGCAUUAGAAACCUACCAUUCCUUAAGGUUGCAGUUGAUCCAAAAAUGAAGUUACCACAUGACAAUCACAAAACUAUCAGGCAUGAAGUAGUAAACUUGCCACGUGACAAAUGCGCUAGGAAGCUACCAUUCUUCAAGGUUGUCGUGCAUCCAAAACUGAAGAUACCACAUGGCAAACACAAAACUACCAAGCAUGAAGCAGAAAAGUUGCCACAUGACAAAUGCACAAAUAAGUUGCAUUUCUCAAAGGUUGGGGUGCAUCCAAAAAUGAAAUUACCAUAUGGCAAACACAAAAACUAACUGACAUGAAGUAGCAAAGUUACCACGUAACUAAUGCACUAGGAAACUUUCAUUCUUUAAGGUUGUUGUGCAUCCAAAAAUGAAGUUAUCACAUGACAAAUAUGAAACUACCAGAUGGAGCACCAAAGUUAUCACAUGACAAAUCCACUAGGAUGCUGCCAUUUUUCGAGAGUUGCCGUGAAUGACCCGACUACUACCACAUUAUACAAAAAUGACCCGACUAAAUUACAGCCAACAUCAACAAUAUUUAGCUUGAGAACAUGCACAUUUUUAAAUUGGAAUGCUCAUAGUACUGGCAAUGGCAAUAGCAGAUUAGUACCAAAUUUGAAUUUGUAAUGUACCAUAAGCAUACAUAAGCAUAUGUAUUCAGAAAUAACCUAAUACACACAACCUAAAUUACCAGGUUACUGUUUCAGAAGUUGAACACCUCAUUACACAGGAAUAACCUAAGUUGAACACCUAAUUACAGGAAUAACCUACACAACGAACCUAAAUUGCCAGCUUAAUGAUACACAAUUAACUACCUAAUUACACAGGAACGCAACAAAGCCUGCAAAAAAUAAUUACCUAAUUUCCUUCCUGUUACCGAAGUUGAACAACGACUAAACAAAUGGGUUUGGUUCCCCCUAAAAUCCAAAUGGUGACCAAACAAUGGAUUGUGAAUUCGACCCAAUAAAAAAACACCAAAAUACCCAGAGAGGAAUUACCACCCCAAAAUCGCACGGUUUGCCGGACCUAUCAGGCCAACACUAAUAAGGGUCAGAAAUCACCAGGAAAAUAAGCCCGCAGUGCUAACUGGGCUGGCUGCUAAUCAGCCACAUCCGCCCAGAAAAAAUUCAAAAUAGCAAACCCGUCGCCGGAUCAAUAGACAAAUCAACCGCACUACAAAAUAGGCAGCCCCGUGAUUUCACCACCUCACAAACAAAUGAACCAAAAGGACAAGGAGAUGGAACAAGGAUGAGGAACAAAUGAGGAUGAACAAUGACACGAACCCCAUGGCCCUGUCGCCCCGAACUAAGCAGUCGACGUGUAGGCGCGAGGAAGGCGAACUCCCAUGGUCUGACCACGGGAUUGAGGCGAACAAAUCGAGCCUGCCAAAUCGACCCCCUCUCAAAAACCACUCAAUUUGCCACCCCCAAAUCGCCACAUCUCUGGAACCAUAUCCAAAACCACGAUGACCCACACAUGAAAUUGGACACAAAUCGAUGAAUCACGCACACAAAUCAAAACGCAUGCACGACAUUCCUGCUCUCAAAACCCUCGAAAUCACCCGAAACAACACAGGCAGAACCCUAGCGGGCGAUGAAAUCACGACAAAAAUGCGCGACGGAGCCAAUACCUCAAAGCCAGCGAGCGCGCAGUGCAGAACGGCAGCGUCGUAAGGAUUCCCGUUGGCCGCCGCCGGCAAAAUAACGGGUGGCGGAGCAGCAGAGCGAGGAAGCGAACGAGACCACGGACAGGUUGGUGAAAAAUGGGAAGCAGUUUGGAGAGGCAAUAAAAGCAGAAAAAGUGGCACGGUUUGUGCACGGGCCCCACAAGUCAUCACGUGGACGUUAAUGGAUGUUCUAGUUUGAGUUUAACCAACCGCGCAUGACACAUUGAAACUUGCUCAGCGAGAAGUGGCGCGCACGGAAUAAAAAACGUCAGCUCAGAAAAAAAAUCCCACAUAAACAACCCGUGCUGUUCUCUCUCGGUUGAGGAGGGAUCAAACGAGGCGGCGGCGGCCAUCCCCGCCGGGUAUGGCGACGGCGCUCGCCCCAGCAGGUGAGGCGGCGACGACCAUCCCCAACGGGCGCGGCGGCGGCGGCCAUCCCCAGCGGGCGGUGGCGACGUCCUCCCCCCGCAGGCGCAGAUGCGACGCUCUCCCACACGGCAAGCGAGUCGGCGACGUUCUCCCCCGUCGUGCGAGGCGGCGGCGGCCAUCCCCGGCUAGCGGCGCAGCGGCAAUACCAAGACCUGAUGCAUAAUUCGAUCGGAGGGGGGGAUGUGCACUGUGUGGAAUGUGCUGGGCGUGGUGUAGCAGAAAAAAAAGGAAUUAAGAAAAAACCUACAACAUGAAAAGGGUAAUGUCAUGGCAUUAUUAUCACUGCUCUUGAUGAGGUACAAUUGUCAGUGAAACAUUAUUCUUUGCCAUAGGCCGUUUACAUUAAUUUGCAUGGGCACCAUUGUAGCUUUAGUGUGGGCACCAUUGUAUAUUUUUUCUACUGUUAUAUAUUGGAUGGUAGAUUGAAAAUAUGCAUGGAGAAACAUUGUAGCUUGCCAUUGUAGUACCAUUGCCAUCAGAUGCAAAGACAGACAAAGUGAACAAUUUUGAUAAUUACCAAUCUUGUUAUAACACACCCAACCUUUUUUAUUUCUAUUUUGAGAUUUAUCCUCCACCAAAGAAGGAAGUUGUACAUCGAUUAGAGAGAAUUUCCCUAAAUGGGAAACAUUGGAAUGAUCUUGUGGGUAAAAAUAUCACUACGGUGAAGCACUUGCUGUGUCAUUAUGAUAGAGAUAAAUCAUGUCUCUAAAAGGUAAAUAUGCAGUUGUUAUUGUGUUUCUACAGUCUGCAGCAUUUCAAAUUACAUGCAAUAGAUAUUAGUUAAUCAUUGUCAUGUAAUGCUAUGUGUAUUUGCGCAAGUCUGUUUGCAAUUAAUCUACCUUAGCCUCAGAAUUCUUAAUAAAGUCAGUACUUAUGAUUUCAGGAAACAAACAGGGUAGAUCAAAGUCCAGGAAUCUUGCUGCCAAAUUAAAAGCAAAGCUCAAGGGUGAGCUACAAAAUGACACCACCAAACGUAUAGGACCUCAUACAGAGGAGAUAUCCACUAAAGGAGAUCAAUGAUAAAGGAGGCAAACAAAAACCUGCUUCUGUGGGGGACAAGGUUGGUUGAUCAAGUUGCUCGAGAGGUCUUUGAAGCUGCUCGGGGCUGGAACACUAUGCGUAGAAGAAUUGCUGGCUGACAAAAAAAGAUCGUCUGCAGUCGCUGCUUGGGAAGCUGGAAUGGAAGGAAUCUCUGAUGCCGAUUCUGUGCUGGUGUCAAGGAUUUGUUUGCUGUGAUACUCUGUUUGGCGAUGACUAGUUUCUGGUCCUGUUAGCAUCAGUUGUCUUAAGCUGCUUGCUCCCAGUUAGGGGCUGUUCUUUUAGCUCUGUCGCUUAGAUAUUGCUCUUGCUUGAAAGUGGCCUCGUCUCUGAAUGGAGAUGAGUGUAAAUAUUUCGCUGAAUCUUGUAACACACUGGUUUCAAUAAUGGAAGCCGGAGAGGGCAAGCCUCUCUUUUUCAAAAAUAAAAUAAAAACUAUAUUAGCUCUGGA